ACACGACAAGGGCAAACCCACCGAAAGGUGGGGACGCAAAGUCACCGGUCUAAAGAGCCUCCAGAGCUCCACGACAGCGGGACCGCCGCA
rnacentral:ncRNA from 1 species